rnacentral:rRNA from 1 species
GACGAACGCUGGCGGCGUGCUUAACACAUGCAAGUCGAACGGAGAGGCCCUGCUUUUGUGGUGUGCUCGAGUGGCGAAAGGGGGAGUAACACGUGAGUAACCUGCCCUUGACUUUGGCAUAACUUCAGGAAACUGGGGCUAAUACCGGAUAGGAGCUCCUGCUGCAUGGUGGGGGUUGGAAAGUUUCGGCGUUUGGGGAUGGACUCGCGGCUUUGCGGCUUGUUGGUGGGGUAGUGGCUUACCAGGGCUUUGACGGGUAGCCGGCCUGAGAGGGUGACCGGCCACAUUGGGCCUGAGAUACGGCCCAGACUCCUACGGGAGGCAGCAGUGGGGAACAUUGCACACUGGGCGGAAGCCGGAUGCAGCAACGCCGCGUGCGAGAUGACGGCCUUAGGGUUGUAACCCGCUUUCGCCUGUGACGAAGCGUGAGUGACGGUAAUGGGUAAAGAAGCACCGGCUAACUACGUG